rnacentral:rRNA from 1 species
UACGAAGGGGGCUAGCGUUGCUCGGAAUCACUGGGCGUAAAGGGUGCGUAGGCGGGUCUUUAAGUCAGGGGUGAAAUCCUGGAGCUCAACUCCAGAACUGCCUUUGAUACUGAAGAUCUUGAGUUCGGGAGAGGUGAGUGGAACUGCGAGUGUAGAGGUGAAAAUUCGUAGAUAUUCGCAAGAACACCAGUGGCGAAGGCGGCUCACUGGCCCGAUACUACGCUGAGGCACGAAAGCGUGGGGAGCAACA